GGCAGUGUCCACAGCAAGUCUUCAGGCCCUGCUCGGCUCACAUCCUGUCAUUGCCCCAGAGAACCGCCUGAACUCACACCAGGAACUGCCUUCCAGACACUAAGGAAGGAGGCAGUGAGCGCCACUUCUGCAUAGAAGUCCAGAGAUGAUCCAGUCCAACAGUUCCUUGGAGAGACCCUCGUGCCAGGUCACACAGGGGGUGGGAAGAGUGAAGCCUCAGGUUCCAUCUAAGUACCCCUGACCUCAAGGCAGCACAGCUUCUCACCACCAGCACACCAGUGGGCUUUCUGAAGAACUGCCUCUGGAAGUUCCCUCAGGAAGGCAGAUCCUGAAGCAUGGUGCCUUCGAGGUUGGAAAAUAUAUUUUGAAAGGAGUAUUUUUGCUGCAUCCACCAGAAAUUUCGUCCUGUUCGGAGAUGGAAGGCGAGUCCGCUCCUAAAGGUGUCACUGCUUGCAGAACAGCGGCCCCUGGUGGGCUCCACGUGAAGUUCUCUGGCCCAACUGCACGCAUGCAUUUGGCAGUCACUCUCUGCCAGAGGAAAUAAAGGUGAAAGGGUCCUUUUGAAAAGCCAGGGGAAUUUUAAAAAAUCAAAUUUAGCUAGUCCCUACUACUGAAGCUUUACUAAAACAAGACUGCAGGGGGAAAAUACCUGUCAAACUGUCCUUGGCAAUCGUUGGUCACCAUGCUGUGUAUUACAAGGGAUCUGUAGGGUUGAGAUAAGUCUAUGGGGCUAUUCGCAUUGCUUGUGAUUACUCCAGCAGGAUUUGAUGUUCUUAUAGGUUAACUCCAAUGAAACAGCAAGUGAAUUUGGAGAAAUCCAGACCUGAAGUUAUGUUAAACACCCAUAAACUAACCCUAAACACAGUUAUGUUAAACAGCCAUAAAUUAACCCUAAAAACAGUUAUGUUAAAUAUCCAUAAAUUAACCCUAAACACAAUUGUGCCAUUAUAUUUGGUUAUAAGUAGCCAUCAAGUGUUUAAGCCCUGAAAAUGGCCCCAUCAAAAUUCAAGCCCAUGGCAAACGAGAUAAUAAAGAAGAAGCAUAUCCUUAUGUUAAUAAGGUUGUAUUGGACCUUGUUUUCUCUCUGUGAGACAGGUUGAGAUUUUAAAGAGGUCUUUGGACAAAUACUUGCUCCCAAUAUUUGGCUCCAGCACUGUUUCAGCUCUAGCUCUCUCCUAGGCAUGUUUUCUUCUCACAUAAAGCGGACCCAGGGCACUAGAAGAGAGGCAUCUAAGAUGAGAUUUUGUUGAGAGCAGGUGGGAAGCCAAUAUUCACUAAUUCAAAUGAAGAGCCUCCUUGGAUUCUUUCAUGGCUCACUGAACUUCUUUCAGCAGUUAGUGCAUUUGUGAUUACUUACUUAUUUUAUAUGCCUGUUCUUUCUCCACUAGGCUUUCUCUCCUCUCUCUCUCUCUCUCCUCAGUGGGCGUGAGUGUGUCCAUUGUGUUUCUCAAAGCCCAGAAGAGGGUCUAGAACAUAGUAGGUGCUCAGUAAAUAUUUUUGGAUUAAUUGCCCAAAUGAAAAGUGUGCUGAAGAUAUGGUUUCUCAUUCUAACUGUGGCUUGUGUUUUGACCUAUCCCACUAAAUUUCUGUAAGAAUCAAAUGAGAUGGCACUUUAAAAAAGUACUAGGAUAGUAUUAUUUUUAAAAUGGGAAUUGUAAUAAUGAUAAUAGUCAGCCUUUGUAGUCUUUGAUUUGGUUCAAUCUAAUUGAUAGCCUAUUGCAUGAGAGAUAGAGGUGUGGACCUUGCCUGGAAGUCCCAGAAAAGUUAGGUGCAACCCAUAUUCUAAAAGAGAUUUAUAAGAUUUUACAAAAGGCAAACAGAAUAAGACAAAUACAGAAAUAAGUGCAUCAGAUGAGCUUAUUUUGGUAUGACAUAGGCGACUAACAAUGAAACAGAAGUCUGCUGGUAAAACUGAAUAUCGAUCCCAAGUAGAGGCAAAAUGGACUUUACAGUUAUGUUUUCACCAGUGAAGAAGAGAAAAAAAACCAAAGUAAUAGUGCUAUAAAGACUUUCUCACAUAUAACAGCAAAGAGGAGUUAAAAAAAAAAUUCGAUCAAUCUGAGCCUAUGCGGCCCCAAUGGCUGCUAUGACUUUGAAAUUACCUUGACGUCCUGGGCUUUAUCUCAAACGUCAUGUACAUUUUGAAUUCUGUACCAUAAUCACCUUGUAUAAUAAUAGAAAAAUACCCCACCCUCGGACUCAAAAUCCAAACAUAACUGAUGUUCCAGGAUGCCUUGCUAAACUUAUUUAGGUAUCUUCAGACAUGCUUCCUUGGACAGUAGAGGAUGUACCCUAGUUGAGAAGCUGGGGAUCCCAGCGGGAAAAGCAUGGACGAAAUUAUUCAGUCAGAAGUGGACUUUUGUUCCAAAGGAUCUAUUUCCCUCCUGGGUCUGCACAUUCUGCGUGUGAAGGAUAGCACAGCUUCUUCAUUUUAUUUAUUCCAAGCCCCAAAGACAGGGAAUUGUCAUUCCCUGUGGAAUUGGGGAGUAUAAAAGUCUCGGUUUCAUGUUUAUGGACUAGUUUGACUCAAUAUUCUAUGGCAAUUACAUAUUAAAUACCUUGCCCAGGUAUGCUGUACUAGAGUGAAAAAGCCAAACAAAACAAAAACCGUAGUAAGUGUUAAUUCUUCAAUAAUCCCAUUUCCCUCCAUGGAUGAAGAAAUAAAGGACCAAAGUGACCACCGUGGUCGAGUUCUCACAGUUGGUAGGUGGCAGAACCAGAAUAUCAAUUGAUUCAAGGAUUGGGAAUUUGAAUCCAGUGCGUUUCCCAUCAUACAUACACUUGGUUUUCUUCAAAUCCAAUUGCAAAUAUAAAACUUGAUUUAAAAACUUGUUUUUAAGUUUGUGCGAUGGUGACCCUUGUAAAUAAUGAUGCCCUUGGGAGCUUCCCAAAGUCCUUGGAUGACAUGCCAGAGCUUGUCAGGGUAAGCAGGAUCAGAGGUGCAGUUAACCCUCUACGUCCCCAACUCCAACUGUUCUCUGAGGGCUCUGGUAAUGUUCUGAUGAUCAAAUGCAAGUGUUUGUUUUUUCUCAAACUCCUUCACCUUGAUCUCUCUGCAGUGUGUGUACAUGGGGGACUCCUUCCUCCGACUUGAUGGAAGAUCUUGGGCUUUUGUGAAAAAGUGCUUCUUUCAUUUUCCUUCUAGUUAAUGCUGUCACCAUUGCUGGAUUUUCAUCUUACUCUUGCCUCUGAGGUGUGGGUGGUUUUUGUUUUUUAACAAUUGUGACUCCCUCUUACUAUUUAUCUCUGGACAACUGCUACUAAUGUGUGAUGCUAGACACAGGCCUUCAGCAAUAACACCUGCAGCUCCUGGUCUCUAACUCUGCAGACCAUCAGUGUAGAAGAUGGUCCACUUGGCUGUCUUCCCAUCACUUCAACCUCACAAGUCCUGGACACAACUCACACUUGCUCUUCAUCUUCCCUAAGCUCCCCUCCCCUCCCAGCCUACCCGUUUCUGCCAACAUCACCAACUUCCUCACAGUUACCCUGGUUCAAAACUUUAGAAAUCAUCUUUCCCUCUUUUUAUUAGUACCUUUUAUCGACCCACUUGCCAAUGCCCAUUGGGUGAAUGAUUAUUGGUCUUUGAAUUCUGGAGGAUUUAGUGUCAAGUUUCACUUAGCAUGACUCUUGACGCUCUUCUUACUUUCCUGCCAUGCUUUCUGACACCCUCCCUUGUCUGGCUAAGGUAGACUAGAAAGCAUUGGGAUUUCAAGGGGAAAAUUGGGAUUCCAGUGAAGAAGUGUAAGAUAAGAGUUAGCUUUCAGUUAUUUUGAGUGCCAGACUAGGUCUUUGAGCACCAAAAGGCAGGGUGGUUGGCACUGGGUAAUAAAGAUUAGAAAGAGAAUUGAAUUAAAGGGGAGAGGUAAGAGUUUUGUGGUGAGUGACCUGGGAGGCUGUUUUAGGGAAGUGUCUGGAAAGCUUGAAAGGUGGUAAAUGCCAAGGACCCCUGGGAGCUGAGCUUUCACCUGCCACAUACCCAGCCAGCUGUGUCCCUCACAACUCUUAGGAGAGGGUGGUUCAUCCAGACACUUCACCUCAUCAGUGGAUUAUCCCAUAGGACUUGCACAUUAGCCCCCACCCCGCUCCACCCUCAAACAGAAGGAAUGGAAGACUCAUAACCUAGCAGGAUAGUGGUAGUGUGGAAAAGAGAGCCCUAACAUCUGGACUUGGGCAGGACACUCGUACAAACACCUCAGCAACUGAUGUCUGCCAAAGCAACAUUUCACAAUGCCAUCUUGGAAGACUGAUGGGAACGUGAAAUCCAACUCCUUUCUUUCUCCCUGUGUGGAUUGAUUAGCCUGAAGAAGAUUUGGAGAUAUUAAUCUUCCUCUGACCAGCCCUGAGGCCCGGCUGCCUAAAAUACAGUGAAGGACCAGGGGACAGAGAGGAGAGUGAGAAAGACCACCAAGGAUGGCCACUUAGGCUAUCCCAGUAGGGAAACCAUUAUUGGAGAGGACUGUCUCAAAGGAAUGAGAGAAAACCUGGAGUUCUAGAGGCAAGAACAAGAAGUGCUGAGAAAAUGUGGACACAAAUGAGUCUGGUCCAAAUCUUCUCUACCCUCAUAUACAAUCAUGAGGAUUGUAUAUGAGGGCAGAGCCAGGGGGUGGGAGGUAGGCUUUGUGCUUUGGCCUUUCUUGGGAUACAAUAGGGUUGGAGGGGAUUCCUUAAGUGUAGCUCCUUUCUGGGCACGCAGAGCUCAGAUGAAAUUCAGCAUUGUCAAAGGCAAACUGUAAGGCCAAUAUGUGUGUGCUGCUAUUUCCCACCUCUGCAGUUAGAGGCUUCAUUCACAUGGCUGGCAUUGUAUCUUGUUCCUGGCUAGUUGUCAACUAAUUAUUUGUAAAGUGUGAAACAGUUGAGGUUCCAGUCUGCAUAAAAAUGGUAUUUGUGAGGUUAUGUUUGGACUAUGUUGUGACUUUUAGUCUUUAAAAGCUAAGCUUCUGACAGGUGACAGUUCACCUGGGCUAUUACAUGGAAAUCUGCCAUGAAGGAAAGAAACUUGUUGUACACAUGCAGAUCUAUUCUAGGAGGACUCCUAUAAUUGAAGGUCCGCCACCCCCGCCCUCCUGGCCUCAGCUUCUUGUAAGUCAGAGUUUCUCAGCAUCUAGAUAAUAGAGGCUGCGUAGUCUUGGCAGUGGGGCUGUCCUGUACAUUGUAGUAUGUUUAUCAGGAACCUUGCCUUGGCCAGUUGCAUUCCCCUCUUCUCUCCCCUCUGCGGUUGUGAUGAUCAGAAGCGUCUGCAGAUAUCGCCAGAUGUCCUCUGGGGGGCAAAAUCGUCCCCAGGGGAGAACUCUUGUUUUAAGAGUCUAUGUUUUAGAUUCAGAAAAUGUCAGGAUUUGAAUAUGAAUGGAGAAUAUAAGUCCUACUUUGAGACAGAGUUUAAUAAAAUAAUUUGGUUGAUAGAGUAGCAACCUGACACAGCAUUGGGUGCCAGGGAAAUAGAUGGAAAAGCACAGAAUAACCAGUAUCAGGUAGUAAAGACCCAAAAGUGAAAGACUUGGGCCUGAUUGGAAAAGACCCAGAAGUUUUGAAAUGAACAAAAUUAAAGAAUAAGUGUGUCCAGGAGACUAAGAGUCUACCCAAAGGAUGUGGGACAGGAUUGCUGAUUUCUUAUUCUGUUGUUAUAUUUAAUUAUUCCACAUGAAGAUUGUUUUGUUACUUUAUUCAACUUAUAUUAAUAAAUUAUAUUUUAUAUUUUAAGGGACAUGUGUUCAGCCAUGCUUUGUUUACUUUGUAAUGUUCCAAACUAUGAGAAUUUAACUUGUACUUCGGGUGAGGCUUAAUUAUGCCAUCUGGUGUUACAAACCUCAAACUGCAGGCAAAAGAAUCCAGAAAAGGUAUUUUGGGAGCCGGAGGCAGUUUUACUCCUUUCGGAGACAAAAACACAACAAAACACAAAGUGGCAAAGUGGUAUAGAUAACAGCCUAACAUGUAACUGUUCUCAGGGGCAUUUCUUUUUUUAACAGUAUUUUCAUUAAUUUUAAGCCUCUUAAGGACAAAGACCAUAUCUCGUUUCCAUUGAAUAAAUGGAUGGAAUAUGUACAGUUUGAGACUAAAAUAGAUGGGUCCCCCCUGU